rnacentral:tRNA from 1 species
CGGGGUGUAGCUCAGCCUGGUAGAGUGCUCGUUUCGGGUGCGAGAGGCCGGAGGUUCGAAUCCUCUCACCCCGACCA